rnacentral:rRNA from 1 species
AUGGAGACUGAUUGUCUUGAGGUAGUAAACCUCUGGAACUCUCGCUACACUGACCGCUCAGUGAUAGCACCUAUCCUAGAUGAAAUAGGAGAGCUAGCUCUUAGCUUUACUUCUUUUACUGUUCAACAUGUAAUGAGAUCAGCGAACGGUCCAGCACACUUGUGUGCGAAGCGUGCUUGUACGCUUUCUGUGACUGAGAGCUGGUUAGACUCUACUCCCCCGUUCCUGAUCAGCAGCCUAUUGGCUGACUGCUCAGCGAGCACGUUUGUUGAAUAA